GCCAAUAUGGCAUAGUGGUUGGAGCACUGGGCUAGGACUCUGAGAGACCAGAGUUCAAAUCCUAUUUGGGCA